rnacentral:lncRNA from 1 species
UAGCGAGCUCUCACAGUCCAGCGAGCUGGCUCGCUUAGCCCCGCAACUAUAGCCCAAAUUCCCUACAAACUCACCCAAUGAACUCGCCCAACUAGUGCAAAAAUAGAGAACUCUCAUAGACCAACGAGGGAGUUCACCCAACUCCCGAAACCCACUACCAGAAUCCUUAUUUACUCGCCCAACGAGUAGUUUGCUCAUCCAGCUCUUCUGCAUAAACCAGCAACCCUCUAAAUCUGCCAAGAACACCACUCCAACCUCUCAUGUCCUCUCCCAUGCAUUUCCACCAACUUCUAACACUUC